UGGGGAAUUUUGGACAAUGGGCGCAAGCCUGAUCCAGCAAUGCCGCGUGCAGGAUGAAGGCCUUCGGGUUGUAAACUGCUUUUGUACGGAACGAAACGGCUCUGUCUAAUACAUGGGGCUAAUGACGGUACCGUAAGAAUAAGCACCGGCUAACUCUGUGCCAGCAGCCGCGGUAAUACAGAGGGUGCAAGCGUUAAUCGGAAUUACUGGGCGUAAAGCGCGCGUAGGUGGUUAGUUAAGUUGGAUGUGAAAUCCCCGGGCUCAACCUGGGAACUGCAUUCAAAACUGACUGACUAGAGUAUGGUAGAGGGUGGUGGAAUUCCAGGUGUAGCGGUGAAAUGCGUAGAGAUCUGGAGGAAUACCGAUGGCGAAGGCAAUCCCCUGGGCCUGUACUGACGCUCAUGCACGAAAGCGUGGGGAGCAAACA
rnacentral:rRNA from 1 species